GAUACUUCGUUCUAUAACAAUAUCUGAGUCAGACUGACUGACAGAAGUCCCCUUGUGACUUCAGCAUCAUAAGACGGGCGGCGAAGAGAGGAGGUGGCCUCAGAAAGAGCCGAUCUAACAUUUAAAACCGGAAUUAACAUUUAAACAAAUUAAAGGAAGAAUUAUUUUAUAAUUAACCAAAGACUCCUAAAAAGAAAGACGAUAAAUUUAUGCUGCAAAAUGCUUUACUACUUGGCUUUACCGCUCUAUCUUCUGCUAGUUUACUCAGGUGCUGUGUCGGACAAUUCAAUCCAAUCCAUUGAACCCGACGUGUCUGUCAUAGAAGGAGACGCUGUGGCACUCAGCUGCUCCUACAGCACCAGCUAUAGCGGUGUCUCUCUCCACUGGUACCGCCAGAAUCCCAGCCAAGCCCCGCAAUACAUUCUCCGGAGAGGCGCGAAGGGAAGCACCAUCAGUGACCACGCAGAUUUUGCCCGGAGGAGGUUCACUUCUGACGCUAACGCCACUGCUACAGUUCUGAUCAUCACAGGCCUGGAGCUGGCGGACGGAGCUGUGUAUUAUUGUGCCUUGAAUGAGACACAGUGCGAGAGUCCCCGGAGACAGCUGCACAAAAACCCUCCCACAUCCCUCACAUGAAUUCUUCCCCAUCUGUCUUGGCUAUUGAGUUUGAAACAUCUUUGACGCAGGAGCUGUUUCUCAUUAGGUGUCUGUGCAGCUCCCUGCCUGACAGGGCCAGCCCAGAUCUCAGUUUUAACCUCCAGGUGCCAUCACGAUGACCAUCAAUUUCCAACUGUGUGCUAGGAAAUACUUGGUCUCAGCGCUUUAAGCUGAUUUCAGGUUUUGAACAGCAGAUUCCCAUUAAAAAUGAACAGGGACUGAUAUAAUAGAUUGACAGAUUUUUAAAAACAGAAGGCACCGAUCUGAUCGAGUCUGACUCCUGCAUAGCACAGGUCAGAGUAUGUCAUCUCACAAUUCCUGUUUUCAGGAAAAUAUUUUCAAAAAUGCCUUUUGAAAAUGGAACGCUACAGAAUUGCAAAGCGCUCCCGUGGCAGCGCUUUGAUGUGUGAGUGUGGUGGCGCGCGCUCAGACUUGUUGCUCUGGGUGUGUGUGUGUGGGGGGGGGGGGUGAUUUUUCAGGAGUUAGAGCAAGUUAAAGCGCUAUAAAAUGAUAAGUGUAGACAAAUUUACCGUUUUCUGAGCACCUCACAGCCUCUAAUGUAUUUAUUUUCACAUCGUUUCUGUGAUAUAAGGCAGCACCAGGAUCUUCAUUUUAGGGAUGAGGUCCUGAAGCACAGAGAACUAACAAGUCACCCACCCAAGGUCACACAGAUAGUCUUCGGUAGAGCAGGGACUAGAAUCUUGCAAAGUAACCGGCAGUUACAGCGCUGCACAGAGAGCGCAGAAGAAAAACUGCUGUUGUGUGUUCACACUGACAGCUGCCUGCACCACAGCGUGUUCACACUUGCAGCAUUUGCGGCGCUUUUCAGGACGGUGCACUUUGGGCAGCUAUCCCAUAGAGCACCUCUUUCUCUUUUGCUGCUAAGACUUAUGAGAAGGCGGAGGGGGCCGCGGGGCAUUCUGGGUCCUGUCCCAAUGCCCGGUGUGUAUUGCUUCACAUCCCUUCAAUCCCUGUCCUUUCGUCCCCAUUUGGUGCCAUCUUUCAACAAGUUUGUGUGCUGCACCCCCUGCUUCUUUCUCGCUGCAGGAAUGGAUCCCGAGCUGUUGACCAGGAUGCUGCUUGCACUGGCCAACACUUCAGGAGUGGCCGUGGAGUUAUUCCUUAAACUACAAAGGCAAGAGGAGUGCCAUGUAGUAGCACAUGUAGUAGCUUCGACAUGAGAUUGCUUGUGGCAUUCAGGGACAUGCUCACUACCAUGGAACGCCGCUUUUGGGCUUGGGAAACAAGCACUGCGUGGUGGGAUCACAACCUGAUGCACGUCUGGGGUGAGGCACAGCACUGCUAGGGGGCGAUGCAGAUCUGCAUAUUAACCACCUUUGACUUUGUAUUUUGUUGCUACGUGCAGUACAACAGCUUUAACAAGGCGGUAAGGAAAUUGAAGAGGGGCUUACAGAAAAAGCAGGGCUCAUUUUUACAUCAUGCACAAUCAUUCAAAAUAGAUAAAAGAAACAACAAAUAAAUUAACACAAGCAGGAGAAAUCUUGUCUUGCUGUUGCAGACACCAAGUGAGCUCGAGAUUAAUUGAAGCUGCAGCGAGCAUGCGGUGUCUACUAGUACAGAUCUAUAUUCUACUGUUGUUGUCCGGUGAGGUCAACUUUUGUGAUGUUCAUUAUGAAUGUGUAAAAUUGUGAAAGUCGAAAUGUGUUUGUAAGGGCCAGGGAGCUCUCGCUGUUAACAUAUUCCAGGCGAAAAAUAAAAUCAAUGAACUGUGACAUUGAAAAUCGCGUGGUGUUUAGGGAAGAAACUUAUUCUUUUACAAAGACACACGCUGUUUAAAAUUGAGAAAAUACGUUAUUCUGUAUUCGGGCUGGGAUUUGCAGAGCUGCUAACCGAUCUGGGCAGCCAGUUCCCAUCAAUUUUAAAGUAUCCGCAUCUCUUGGGCACCUUUGAAGAUCUCAGCUGGCGCCUUUCUAAAAAUGAAUGAGAAAAUACAGAGAUAGACAGACAAAUAGUUAUAUAUUACAGAGCUGGGAAGGACAGAUAGGUAAAAAGGGUAUGUGGGGAUAGGUAGAUAGACAGAGAGGGGGGUGUAUGGGGAUGGAUAGAUAGAUCACAUUUAUUGGAAAACUCUUAGACAUCCUCAGCUGACAUACACAGAGACAAACAGUGUCACCCAAAGACAAGGACAGCUAACCUGGGUACAAAGUGAAUCUGUCAGACUGGACUGUACUUUAUCUACUGAAGAUACAGGUUAUGACAUAUAUUGGUAUAAACUGGACAGCAGCGGCUAGACGAAAUACCUCUUCCAAAGGUGUGCCGGAAGCGAGCACAACGGGGCUGGAAGCCGGUUCUCACUGGACUUCAGACAAGCCGAAACAUACAUCGGUCUGAAAAUUGCUGAGUUAGGACCGAGCGAUUCGGCGAUAUUUUUCUAUGCUAUACCUGAGAGGGCCUUAGGUUACCACUGCGGGUGGGUUAAUAGAGGGGCCUUUACAAAAUCCAGUGAUCAGUUUUCUCUUGACUCUGAGACAAAACUGGGGCAAAAAGAAAUCAGUGUAAAA